ACUUCUUAUGUGCACAAAAGACCAGAAAAAUCAUCAGACAAUCUUCAUUAAUCUAACACAUUAAAAAGAGCUUUAUCAGAUGCUCUUUUGCUUACCAAAUUAAAUGAGCAUGGUAGGUAGAGCUGUCAAUAUGGGCUAGCCCACCCCAUCCGGGCAAACCCAUACAGGCUUUGACAUUUUACGGGUCAGACCAGGCUAGCCCAUUUUUGGUGUGGGCCAGAAAACGGUCGGCCCAACCCACAAGUACGUGGGCUACAGGCUUGCCGGGCCAGCCCACUUUUUUAAAAGUUAUAUAUUUUUUUAUAAUUAUUAAAUUAAAUUAUAAAUUAUAAUUUAAAAAUAUUAUCAUAAAUAUCGACAAAACAAUAUUACAUGGUGUUAAUGUUACUACUUGUUAAUCAAAUCCACAAAUAAAAUUAUCAACACAAAAAAUAUGACAAUAUUCCAACCAUAAAAAUGUAAAAAAUAAACUCCUUAAAAAAUCAUGAAACUUAUGACGUAUCUAACACUUCAUGAAACCUAUGGCGUAUCUAACACUUCAUGAUCAUCUUCAUCAAGCAUAUCUGAAUCAACUUGUGGGAAGGUUGUCUUAACAUCUUCAUUUUCAUAUGCAAUUUAUAUGCGGUUUCAAUUAGUUAAAUAUUAAAAAAUAACUAAAUUGAGAAUUAUAAUAUUUAAAUGUACACAAAAAUAUAUUACCAGUUUGAGAAAAACCAUGUAACCAGUUUUCGAGUAGCAACAAGUGUUUGGACAUUUUCAUGGUGGAUGCAACUUCUAUACUUAGUGAUUUCCUAAAAAACUUUAAAUAGAUUUUGAGUUUGGAUCUCUUUAAUUUUAAAUUUUAAUAUUAUAUUAUAUUUUUUAAUUAAUUUGUAUUAGCCCACGGGCCGGCCCUACCUAUAUUUCUCAAGCCCCACAAAUCAGCAGGCUUAUUCAGGCCGGGCUAAAAAGCCCUUUUUUUAAAUGGGCUCCAAAAAUUUUAGCCCAGCCCUAUUAAAUCCCGGGUUAAGCCAGGCCGGCCCAACAGGCCUAGCCCAUAUUGACGGCUCUAAUGGUAGGUGCCGAAUAAGUUAGAAAGCAAAUGCUGAAAAUAUGGGGCUUAAAUAUGUCUUGUGAGCUUUGGCAAUCAGUCAAGCUGUUAGCCAAGGACGACUUAAACGCCAAAAUUAUGUGUAGAUAAAUUUCGUCUGACAACAACAACAACAUACCCAGUGAAAUCCCACUAAGUGGGGAUCUGGGAGGGUAGAGUAUAUGAAGACCUUACCACUACCUCGUGGAGGUCGUGGAGGUAGAG
rnacentral:lncRNA from 1 species